rnacentral:rRNA from 1 species
GGCCAUGUCUCGGCGAAACUCCGUUUCCCGGACGAUUACUGAAGUUAAGCGACGUCGAGUUGGUCAGUAGCUAGAUGGGUGACCGCUUGGGAAUACCAGGUACUGCAGG